GUUGUGCAUGUUGCUUCUCGAAAGCUCCCUCUGGGGCUGCUUCUCAGCUAAAUUUAGGGCCAAUCUGUCCCCAUCGUGGGCUCGGCGAGGCUGGAGAAGGGUGUGGGCAGACUGGCAAAGUGUUGGCCGCAGGCCCACAGCCUCGCUCCGGGCUUCCCUCUCUCUCUCCCUCCAGGAGGCCAGGAUUGGCUCGGGCCCUCCGCUGACCACUGGUUGUCCACCCACUGUGCACUUGAAGAAGCUGAGGACGCAGCCCACCCUGCGUCCAGCCUGCCCUGGGCCUCAGAGAAGGCACGAGAGUUAACAUCUGACAAAGGCUGGUGGACUAAACACUUGCUUAGAAUAUGAGUGGAAGUGAAGAAUGCCACCUCUGCAUCACUGCAUCUUUCCUCCCUCUUGAGCACUAAAAUGUGAAUACUGUGCUCAUAAGCCAGUUUCAGCCAUGAGGACCACCUACCUCUAACUGUUAUCUGAAGAGAAAUAAAUUUCCACCUCAUGAUAAA